rnacentral:rRNA from 1 species
CCCUUAGAUGUUCUGGGCUGCACGCGCGCUACACUGAAGCGUUCAACGAGUAUUCACCUUGCCCGGGAGGGUUGGGUAAUCUUUUGAAAACGCUUCGUGAUGGGGAUAGAUUAUUGCAAUUAUUAAUCUUCAACGAGGAAUUCCUAGUAAGCGCGAGUCAUCAGCUCGUGCUGAUUACGUCCCUGCCCUUUGUACACACCGCCCGUCGCAGCUCCUGAUUGAAUGAUUAAGUGAGAUUUUUGGAUUUGCUUGCUGCUGUCUUUGUUGCCGGCGUCGAGCGAAGAAGAGAACCAAACUUAGUCAUUUAGAGGGAGCUGAAGUCGUANCA